rnacentral:rRNA from 1 species
AUUGAACGCUGGCGGCAGGCCUAACACAUGCAAGUCGAACGAGUGGCGGACGGGUGAGUAAUGUCUGGGAAACUGCCCGAUGGCGGGGGAUAACUACUGGAAACGGUAGCUAAUACCGCAUACCAUCGGAUGUGCCCAGAUGGGAUUAGCUAGUAGGUGGGGUAACGACUCACCUAGGCGACGAUCCCUAGCUGGUCUGAGAGGAUGACCAGACAAACUGGAACUGAGACACGGUCCAGACUACUAAGGGAGGCAGCAGUGGCGAAUAAUGCGCAAAGGGUGCAAGCCUGAAGCAAGCGUGCCGCGAGUAGGAAGAAGGCCUUCGGGUUGUAAAGAACUUUCAGCGAGGAGGCGUUACUCGAAGAAGAAGCACGGGAGAACUCCGUGUCAGCAGCCGCGGUAAUAC